rnacentral:rRNA from 1 species
UACAGAGGUCUCAAGCGUUGUCCGGAUUUACUGGGCGUAAAGAGCGCGCAGGCGGUCGUUCAAGUCGCGUGUGAAAGCCCCCGGCUCAACUGGGGAGGGUCACGCGAUACUGAUCGACUCGAAGGCAGGAGAGGGUAGUGGAAUUCCCGGUGUAGUGGUGAAAUGCGUAGAUAUCGGGAGGAACACCAGUGGCGAAGGCGACUACCUGGCCUGUUUCUUGACGCUGAGGCGCGAAAGCUAGGGGAGCAAACGGG